rnacentral:rRNA from 1 species
GACGAACGCUGGCGGCGUGCUUAACACAUGCAAGUCGAACGGAAAGGCCCUGCUUGCCGGGUACUCGAGUGGCGAACGGGUGAGUAACACGUGGGUGAUCUGCCCUGCACUUCGGGGUAAGCCUGGCAAACGGGGUCUAAUACCGGCUAGGAGCCUUUUUUAGUGUGAUGGUUGGAAAGUUUUUUCGGUGUAGGAUGAGCUCGCGGCCUAUCAGCUUGUUGGUGGGGUAAUGGCCUACCAAGGCGGCGACGGGUAGCCGGCCUGAGAGGGUGGACGGCCACAUUGGGACUGAGAGACGGCCCAGACUCCUACGGGUGGCAGCAGUGGGGAAUAUUGCACAAUGGGCGCAAGCCUGAUGCAGCGACGCCGCGUGGGGGAUGACGGCCUUCGGGUUGUAAAAUCCUUUCGCUAGGGACGAAGCUUUUUGUGACGGUACCUAGAUAAGAAGCACCGGCUAACUACGUG